UGUUCGAGGGUAGACCGGAUGUGG
rnacentral:siRNA from 1 species